rnacentral:rRNA from 1 species
GACGAACGCUGGCGGCGUGCUUAACACAUGCAAGUCGAACGCUAAAGCCUUUCGGUGUACUCGAGUGGCUAACUGGUGAGUAACACGUUGGUGAUCUGCUCUCCACUUUUUGAUACGCCUGUGAACCUGGGUCUAUUACUCAAUAGGACCAUGUGCUUCAUGGCUUGUGGUUGAUAUCUGUGGCGGUUUUGGCUGGGCUUGCGGCCUAUCAGCUUGUUGGUGGGGUAAUGGGCUACCAAGGCGACGACGGGUAGCCGGCCUGAGAGGGUGACCGGCCAAACUGGGACUGAGAUACGGCCCAGACUCCUACGGGAGGAAGAAGUGGGGAAUAUUGCACAAUGGGCGGAAGCAUGAUGCAGCGACGCCGCGUGAGGGAUGACGGCCUUAGGGUUGUAAACCUCUUUCACCAGGGAAGAAGCGAAAGUGACGGUACCUGGAGAAGAAGCGCCGGCUAACUACGUG